UACGUAGGGUGCAAGCGUUGUCCGGAAUUAUUGGGCGUAAAGAGCUCGUAGGCGGUCUGUCACGUCUGCUGUGAAAACUCGGGGCUUAACCCCGGGCCUGCAGUGGGUACGGGCAGACUAGAGUGCGGUAGGGGAGACUGGAAUUCCUGGUGUAGCGGUGAAAUGCGCAGAUAUCAGGAGGAACACCGGUGGCGAAGGCGGGUCUCUGGGCUGUAACUGACGCUGAGGAACGAAAGCGUGGGGAGCGAACAGG
rnacentral:rRNA from 1 species